rnacentral:misc_RNA from 1 species
UUUCCGUAGGUGAACCUGCGGAAGGAUCAUUAAUGAGUUGUCAUGGGGUUCGAUGCUGGCAGCCAGUUUUUGGAUGCAUGUGCUUGCCCUAACAAUCAUCUUCUUCCAAACACCUGUGCACAUUUUUGAGGGAGUCUUGAGUUGGUUGCCGCUCUUGGGUGAUUUUCUCACAUCCCUUAAAUCAUUAUACGCUAUUAACAAUGUUGAACGUGCUCUGUGCCGCAAGGCCAUUAAUAUAAUACAACUUUUAACAACGGAUCUCUUGGCUCUC